AAGUGAAACCGCGAACGGCUCAUUAAAUCAGUCAUAGUUUAUCUGGCAAUAUUUUUACAUGGAUAACUGCGGUAACUCUGUAGCUAAUACAUGCCACUUGUCCUAUGGGACUAAGCUUUUAUUACAAAAUGACUGCGAGAUAUGUCUUUACGUAUCUUCGCUUGAUUUGCAAGUAACUGAGUGACCGUAGUAAGCCUAGUGCUGACGGCGUGCCAGUCAAGUGUCUGCCCUAUCAACUUUUGACGGUAGUGUACCGGACUACCGUGGUUGUAACGGGUAACGGGGAAUCAGGGUUUGAUUCCGGAGAGGGAGCCUGAGAAACGGCUACCACAUCUAAGGAAGGCAGCAGGCGCGUAAAUUACCCAAUUCCAGAUCGGAGAGGUAGUGACGAAAAAUAACAAUAUGAAGCCCUAUGGGUUUUGUGAUUGGAAUGGGCGGAACAAAAUAAUCUUCCGCGAGGAUCUAGUGGAGGGCAAGUCUGGUGCCAGCAGCCGCGGUAAUACCAGCAUCCACAAGCAUAUACAAAAGUUGCUGC
rnacentral:rRNA from 1 species